UACGAAGGGGGCUAGCGUUGCUCGGAAUCACUGGGCGUAAAGCGCACGUAGGCGGAUUGUUAAGUCAGGGGUGAAAUCCUGGAGCUCAACUCCAGAACUGCCUUUGAUACUGGCGAUCUUGAGUCCGGGGAGAGGUGAGUGGAACUGCGAGUGUAGAGGUGAAAUUCGUAGAUAUUCGCAAGAACACCAGUGGCGAAGGCGGACUCACUGGCCCGAUACUGACGCUGAGGCACGAAAGCGUGGGGAG
rnacentral:rRNA from 1 species